rnacentral:rRNA from 1 species
GGUGAGUAAUGCAUAAGAAUCUCCCCUGUAGUGGGGGAUAACCUGGGGAAACCCACGCUAAUACCGCAUACUUCCUACAGGAGAAAGGGGGCUUUGGCUCCCGCUAUCGGAUGAACCUAUGCCUGAUUAACUGGUUGGUGAGGUAACGGCUCACCAAGGCGACGAUCCAUAGCUGGUCUGAGAGGAUGAUCAACCACCUCGGGACUGAGACACAGCCCGAACUCCUACGGGAGGCAGCAGUGGGGAAUAUUGGACAAUGGGGGCAACCCUGAUCCAGCCAUGCCGCGUGUGUGAAGAAGGCCCUCGGGUUGUAAAGCACUUUCAUCGAGGAAGAACGCCUGGUGGUUAAUACCCGCCAGGAAAGACAUCACUCGCAGAAGAAGCACCGGCUAACUCCGUGCCAGCAGCCGCGGUAAUACGGAGGGUGCAAGCGUUAAUCGGAAUUACUGGGCGUAAAGCGCGCGUACGUGGCUUGAUAAGCCGGAUGUGAAAGCCCCGGGCUCAACCUGGGAACGGCAUCCGGAACUAUCAGGCUAGAGUGCAUGAGAGGAAGGUAGAAUUCCCUGUGUAUGUGUGAAAUGCAUACAGAUCGAUACGAAUACCAGUGGCGAACGCAGCCUUCUGGACUGACACUGACACUGACGUGCGAAAGCAUGCGUAGCAAACAAGAUUAGAUACCCUGGCAGUCCACCCCUACCUAUGUCUACCAACCGUUGGGUGCCUAUCGCACUUUGUGGCAACGUUAACGCGAUAAGUCGACCGCCUGGUGAGUAGGCCGCCAGGUUAAUACUCAAAUGAUGUGACGGGGGCGCGCACACACAGUCGGAGCAUGUGGUUUUAUUUCUAUCGCAUCGCCCACGAACCAUUACCUACCCUUCGACAUACAUGCGAACGUGUGACAGAUACAAUUGGUUGCCUGUCCCGGAACGCAAAAGACAAGUGCUGCAUUG